rnacentral:rRNA from 1 species
AGUGAACGCUGGCGGUAGGUCUAACACAUGCAAGUCGAACGGCAGCACAGGAGAGCUUGCUCUCUGGGUGGCGAGUGGCGGACGGGUGAGGAAUACAUCGGAAUCUACUCUGUCGUGGGGGAUAACGUAGGGAAACUUACGCUAAUACCGCAUACGACCUACGGGUGAAAGCAGGGGACCUUCGGGCCUUGCGCGAUUGAAUGAGCCGAUGUCGGAUUAGCUAGUUGGCGGGGUAAAGGGCCCACCAAGGCGACGAUCCGUAGCUGGUCUGAGAGGAUGAUCAGCCACACUGGAACUGAAACACGGUCCAGACUCCUACGGGAGGCAGCAGUGGGGAAUAGUGGACAAUGGGCGCAAGCCUGAUCCAGCCAUACCGCGUGGGUGAAGAAGGCCUUCGGAUUGUAAAGCCCUUUUGUUGGGAAAGAAAUCCAGCUGGCUAAUACCCGGUUGGGAUGACGGUACCCAAAGAAUAAGCACCGGCUAACUUCGUGCCAGCCGCCGCGGUAA